GAGACAGCAGUCGCCGCGGGAAUACGUAGGGUGCAAGCGUUAAUCGGAAUUACUGGGCGUAAAGCGUGCGCAGGCGGUUAUAUAAGUCAGAUGUGAAAUCCCCGGGCUCAACCUGGGAACUGCAUUUGGGGCUGUAUGGCUAGAGUGUGUCAGAGGGGGGUAGAAUUCCACGUGUAGCAGUGAAAUGCGUAGAUAUGUGGAGGAAUACCGAUGGCGAAGGCAGCCCCCUGGGAUGACACUGACGCUCAUGCACGAAAGCGUGGGGAGCAAACAGGAUUAGAUACCCCCGUAGUCCCUGUCUCUUAUAC
rnacentral:rRNA from 1 species